AACGAACGCUGGCGGCAGGCUUAACACAUGCAAGUCGAGCGCCCCGCCAGGGGAGCGGCAGACGGGUGAGUAACGCGUGGGAACGUACCUUUUGGUUCGGAACAACUCCGUGAAACUGGAGCUAAUACCGGAUAAGCCCUAACGUGGAAAGAUUUAUCGCCGAAAGAUCGGAUCGCGUCUGAUUAGCUAGUUGGUGAGGUAACGUCUCACCAAGGCGACGAUCAGUAGCUGGUCUGAGAGGAUGAUCAGCCACACUGGGACUGAGACACGGCCCAGACUCCUACGGGAGGCAGCAGUGGGGAAUAUUGGAAAAUGGGCGCAAGCCUGAUCCAGCCAUGCCGCGUGAGUGAUGAAGGCCUUAGGGUUGUAAAGCUCUUUUGUCCGGGAAGAUAAUGACGGUACCGGAAGAAUAAGCCCCGGCUAACUUCGUG
rnacentral:rRNA from 1 species